ensembl:lncRNA
CAGGUUCUUUUGUGGCAGAAUCUGUGCGGGGAUGGGGGAAUGAGGUGAGGACUGGAGCACAAUGGGGUGGCCUGAAAAUGCCUACAUGUCUUUCUGUCUUGGGCCAACACUGACCUUCAGACUGACAUACCUGAGCCCACGUGAACAGACUGUUGAUGGGGCCAAUUUCCAGAGUGUUGGUGGCACGGACACCUCCCCUUGCAAUCAGCAUGUGCCUGCAACUGCAGUCUACACAUUGGCAUAUGUUCAAUAAGCCUAGCUCUGGGCACUUCCCAGUAACGUGUAAGCUUCAAGCUCACCUUUGUGCAAGAUUGAUAUAUCUGGUCUGUAGUAAUUAUCCUGUAUUCUGUGGCCAUACACUAUUUCCUCUUCUGCAGUGUAUUCGUUUGAAUGUCACUAUCCAGGAUAUCUGUGUAGCUCUGAGCUGCUUUGUUAGCAAGACUGGAGUCUGCAGUCUGGAAACAAAGGGAAAAGUUUCAUCUGCAUGCUGCGCUUGUAGAAAUCUAGCAAUUAGAAGUAGAAACACAUUGGAGUUUGCUAAAAUGAUAGCUUUGCUUAAUUGUCCAAAUGUUGUGCUUAUUAUUUAUUUGCUGAAGCCAGCUACUAUGUCAGGUUUUUGUCAACAGUGCACCUGCAGAAUAUGACAGUAUGAAAGUUUUACUUCAUGUUUAAGUAAUCUCUCUGAGGCAGCACAUUCACGAAGUACUAUUGCACUAAACUCAGUUGAUUACCAUCCACAUGCCUUACAGAAGCAAAUCAUACCUGUAGUAAUUGCCCAGAUUAUACUGCUUCUCAUUGCCUAUGAGAGUAAAAAUGACCAUGUGGCCAGUAACAAGCUGAGGAGUCAGGCACUCCUGGGUUCUUGCUCCUGCUUUGCCACUACCUGUUCUGUAAUCUAGGGCAAGUUGUUUAAACUGUAUUCGUUUUGAAUGACUUUAAUUCAUGUAAAACACUGGAAUUGUACCAGGGUUGAAUUUGACCCUCUGUGUCUCAGUUUCCACAUCUGUAAGAUGGGGAGAAUAUACCUUACCUACCUCGCAGGGUUGCUCUGAAGACUAGCUAAUGUUUGUAAAGCACUUAAAAAUGCAAAGACCCUCCUAGGUGCUAAGAAGAAAUGUUACUGAACUCCGGCAGAGAGAAUGUUGUAUUUUUCCAUAGCUCCUUAUCUCACAGGGAGAGGAACAUGAACGUUUCCAGAUCACAAACUCUUGGAACAAACCCUCGUUGUUGCCAUACUCUUAGGAGGUUCACAUCCUGUGUCCUCUGGAGCUGAUCGCAAAACUUCCACUGGCUUCAGGCGGGUGGCAAUCAAGACCUAAGCAGUAGUAAAGAGGCUGACUAAAUGCUUAAGGGACAGGAGUAGAGAGAAGACAUACAUGAGUUAAGUACUCUUCAGAAAUUCGCACUAGUGACAUGUACCAAGAGGCAUUGUAAUGCUGACAUGAAGCCUUGUUGUUCAUUUAGCCAUGGAUUGUAUUCCAGUUACUGUGAAACUAUGGAACAAGAUUUCCCAUCAGUGUCUGUAAGACUACGAUUAUGUCUCAAUUGCCAUUGGGAAUUUCAACCUACUUCAAGCUACUUCUUAUCAGAGUAAAAAGACCUUAAAUAACUGAAGCUUUUAAAUAAACAUGUGUAAUCAUUUGGGAACAUAAAAUUGUAUUGAUCAGACAAACAACUUUCUCCUUUCCCCUCCCCUUCCCCAAAACCAACAACGUGGAGCCAAUCCCAUUCUUGAGCGAAAACUGACCUUGGAUCUCCUUAUCACUUAUGUGUACUCUUCCUUUGCUGUGGAGCCCUGACUAAUCAUCCUGCUAACCCACUCUGCCCUCUGGAAUAACUGAUAGAAACAGCACCACUGAGUAGAGGACAAUGUUUUUAAGAGCUUUUCUAACCGGCAGCAGUAGUGGAAACAAAGAAAAAA